rnacentral:ribozyme from 1 species
AAAAGAAGAAAGAAAUAUGUGAGAAGGGAGAGAAAAGAAGAAGAUAUCAAUACAUACUGUUGUCUUGUCAUUUCUCUCUCUCUCUCUCUUUC